UAGGAAAAAUGAGGUAACACAGGCCAGCCUGCAGCCAGGAGACUUUUUGGUCCCCCUGAUCCACUGCAGUUCCUGAAUGGGUCUGUGUUCCUGUGAGAACACUGAGAAACGUCUUUUAUGCUCGCUUUUCACUUCAGUGUGUGGUAAUGGGUUGUUAUUGUCUCUGAGAUUUCACAUUUAAACCCUCCUUCCUUCCUUGGUCUUUCCUCAGGAUGACAGGAUUCAGGAAGACGGCCCCAUAUUUGAUCCACGGAGCCCAACCUAUAUGCAAGACGUUAUCAAUCAUAUACCAAAAGCCUAUAAGGAUGGGAAUUACCUAUUUAUAGGUAUAAUAUUGACUAUCUACCAUAGGUUUGUGACCACCUGGGAGAUGCUGGACUUAAUUAUGGACACGUAUGGACCUUUGCAGCCAGACUGUGUGGAGGAUCAGGAAAAAAGGAAGUGAGUUGGCUUGGGUGACGAGGGAGGUAAGAGCCCCUCUACACAGUGGGAUGUCUGGGGUGGCUAGGGUUGAGGAAUGAGCUGUUACCAGUCACCCUGCUCUUGGGAUUCCCACUAGAGGGAUGGUACCAGAGACUUCACGUGCAGGUGGAGAAAAACAGAAAUAAAUCUCCAUUGAUCUCCUUGGUCCUGAGGAGCACAGGGAUUGACGGAAGCUAAAGGGCCCUAGGGGAAACCAUCCCCACUACAGCCCAGCCCAGUCUGCCCAGUCCCUCCUCCAAGGGACAGAAAGUGUCUCGAGCCCUGUCCAUACAGCUCUACACUCCUGACCACCAUGCCCAGCAGCACAUGGGCUGGGCAGCCUUUUCCUCAUCUAAGGGACACUGCUGUGCUGGUGAAGUGAGGCCAGGCUUCUGACUCUACUUCCCUCCAACCUGGUCCUCCCUGCAGUGCCUUGUUAUCCUUCCUAUCAAUAUGGACGUCAAAACAACCCCAGGACUUCAGGUCUCCAAACCUUGCCGUGGCCAAGAGGCUCGUGAAAUAUCUAUGGCCCGAUGAGCCUGCAAAAGACUUCACUCUCCAAGGGGAGGCGCUGGAGGAGCAGGACUGUAAAAUGGAUGAUGGACUCCUCAGGGAAGUUAAUACAGAGGCACCCAUGCAGGAUGCAUUAGGGAUGGUGGAGACUCUACAUGUGGGACCAACUUCUGUGGCAGAGCCCCGGGAAUUUCUGAAAACCCAAGAUGACACAGACCUGGCCCUUGGGGAACCAACCGUGCCAGAAGCUGGACCAGUACCACUUCAAACUUCAGACCAGCCUCUGCCCACUGAUGCACAGCCACCUCUAGAAGUGGCUGCAGAUGUUCCAGAUGCUGGGCGGCUCUUUCUAGUUUCUGUUGUGCAACUGGGUGCACCAGAGCCCUUUUUCCCUCUGCCUGAUGUUGACAUAGAUUGAGAUUGUUUAUUACCUGCCGAGUUCCACCCAGGACCAGCUGUCCUUCCCGUCUUUAGAGAAAGUAUCUCCUUUCGUUGUGUUUAAAACUUUUUAUUGUUGUUUUCAAAGUUAAUAUUAAUAUUGCCUUUAAUUAUAUUUAAUUAUUUUUCCUUGUUUUUUCAAUAUUAAUAUGUAUUAAUAAACAUUAAGUAUGCCUA